GAGGCGGUGGGGCGCCGCUUCGCCGCGGCGCUCGAGCCGCUGCUCGCGUUCGAGCCGUUCGAGUCGGCGGCGCCGCCC
rnacentral:tRNA from 1 species